UUGAAAAGCUACCACCAUCAGAGGUUAGCUAAGUGUUUUGUAUGUUCCUAAAAUCAGUCAUCCAUUAGCUGCUGAUUGGUUAACGUUAGGACAUUGGAACACCCACGCUUGUGUAAGGCUCAGCCAUAAAAAUAAAUCAUGUUUUUGUUUGUUUUUCUUCUGGAUGAUAAACUGACAGACGGUCCAGCCCUCUUCGACCUGAUGGUUCACCAAUUGUUUGUUCUGGGCCCUGGUUGUUUUUGUGAUCAUAAGAACAGAAACUCCUCUUACUGUAACCAAUCAGUGACAGGGUCUGAGGUCAACACUAUAUCAGCUGAGCAGGCUGAGGCUUUUUUCAGUAACCAUAAAAAAACAUCACGUACUUGGAGUUUCUGUCGAUUUUAAAGUUACUUUCAGUUGGAUUUCGAACUUUCUACUUCAGUCAUGGCACCGAUUUUACUGAACUGUAUGGGAAAUGAUCACACUGAGUACAUGAAACAAUAUGUCCAGGUGAAAAACCCUUACCUGGAAACCAUGGAGGAGGACAUUCUGUACCACUUCAGCCUGAGCACCAAGACUCAUAACCUUCCAGAAAUGUUUGGAGACAUUAAGUUUGUGUGUGUUGGCGGCAGCACAAAUCGCAUGAAGGCCUUCGCCCAGUUCAUCCACCAGGAGCUGAAACAGCCUGGAAACCCAGAGGACCUCCGAGACAUCUGUGAGGGAACCGACCGUUACUGCAUGUACAAAGUGGGACCAGUUCUGUCAAUUAGCCAUGGCAUGGGUGUCCCAUCCAUCUCCAUCAUGCUGCAUGAGCUGAUCAAACUGCUGCACCAUGCGCAAUGUCGUGACGUGAUCCUGUUUCGCCUCGGAACUUCAGGUGGAGUCGGUCUGGCUCCUGGAACUGUGGUGAUCACCGAUAAGGCUGUGGAUUAUUCCUUCCGCCCUCAGUUUGAGCAGGUGGUCCUGGGUAAAGUUAUCACCAGAAGCACAGAGUUGGAUGAGGGAGUGGCCAGUGAGCUUCUGCAGUGCUCCUCUGAGCUCCAGAAUGUUCCAACAGUGAUUGGCAACACCAUGUGCACCCACGACUUCUAUGAAGGUCAGGGCAGACUGGACGGUGCGCUCUGCUCCUUUUCUCAAGAAGAAAAGUUGGAAUAUUUGAGGAACGCUUACGAUGCUGGUGUCAGGAACAUUGAAAUGGAAUCGACUGUUUUUGCUGCAAUGUGUCGUGUCUGUGGUCUGAAAGCUGCUGUCGUCUGUGUUGCACUGCUGCACCGCUUCGAGGGGGGACAGAGUACUGCUCCCCAUGAUGUGCUGGUGGACUACCAGCAGAGACCUCAAGUCCUUGUGUCCCACUUCAUUAAGAAACGCCUGGGACAAAUCAUCUGAACCGUCUGUCCAUCACUACAUUCCUGAAACAUGUACAUAGCUGUGACUUAAAUUUAAAUACGUGUAUAUACUGUACUUAGAUGUCAAUAUGUGUAUUUGACGUUUAUUUAAUAAACGUCAAAUACUUUUUCACAGUUUCUGUAAUGAACUAGAUUAGAUAAUAGAUUAUAUGUUGCUAUAUACUGUAUGUUAACAUUUAUCAAUCUGGUGCUAAUGUAUAGACCAAGUGUUGCUAGCCUUUGUUUCUACUAUUUCAACUACUUGAGUGACUACCAACAUUUAAUCUAGGUUGUUUACUGUAUGCACAUUUUUAUGUUUUUUUUAUCGCAUGUUUGUUAUAUAUGUUUGUUAUGUGAAAAAUAUCAAGAUUCUUCUUUGGGGUUUCUCCCAGUGUAAAGAGAUAUUUAAGUGAACAGAAAGUUGAUUUUGUUGGGUUAUAUGUAUAUGUGUUUGUCAUUCUUGAAGAAACUGCAGUAUACUGUAUUUGUUAAAAUGCAAUAAACACAAAUAGAAAAAGUA